GAUGAACGCUGGCGGCAUGCCUUACACAUGCAAGUCGGACGGGAAGUGGGGUUUCCAGGGGCGGACGGGUGGUUAACGCGUAAGAACUUGCCCUUGGGUGGGGAACAACAGCUGGAAAGGGCUGCUAAUACCCCGUAGGCUGAGGAGCGAAAGGAGGACUCCGCCCAAGGAGGGGCGCGGGUCUGAUUAUCCAGUUGGGGAGGGAAUAGUUCACCCACGCCGUUAUCAGGAGGUGGUCCGAGGGGAUGAUCAGCCACACUGGGAAUGAGACAAGGCCCAGGACUCCACCGGAGGCCGGCGUGGGGAAAUAUCCGACAUGGGCGAAAAGCUGGCGCCGCAAUGGCGCGUGGAGGUAAAAGGCCUACGGGUCAUGAAAUUCUUUUCCUCCAGAAGAAAAAAUACAGUUCUCUGGGAAAAAACCCUCGGCAACCCCUGUC
rnacentral:rRNA from 1 species